GGAUACGAUGUUAAUGAAUGGUCUAUAAUAGUCAGCUGUCAUAGUCAGAAAAUUACAGUUGUCAUUUGACUUCUUGACGGAGAACACAUUGAGUGAAACAGUGGACAUAAGAGUGUUUAUAUAUUUUGUUUGGAUUAUUUUAUCACGUUAAAAGACUAAAGAGAUGACGAAGUUCUUGUCGGUCAGCAAACCCAAGUCGUCUGCACAAAUCGUUGCUAAGCAACACAUGAAGAAACAUCUGAAGAGAAUCAGGAACAAAGAAUAUGGUCGUCUGCGGGACAUGGUGCCAGCUAUAGCUAACAAACAACACGUAUCUAAGGUGACUGUUAUUGAAGAGGCGGUGAGAUACAUUGACGAGUUGCACCGAGCUCUUGCCAGCCGACUUACGAACACAGAAAUUACCAGCGCACAUGGUAACGCAGACGUUCUUAAGGACAUAGUUCACAGCUUAAUUCCGACAGAUUUCUUCGAGAGAAGGGCGCCACCUGCUGUAGACUACGAAAAACAACAAAAACUACCAUCAUACCUUUGUAGAAACAAACGACCUGCACGGCUCGUUUAAGUGAUUCUACAUGAUGAUUGUAUAUUUUUUGCUGUGAUAUUGUGCAAUAAGCGUAGCUGUGAUAAUACUAACAACAGACCAAACACAUCAUCAAGCCGGGGACCAAAGAUUCCAUAUAUGAUAAAGUUACGAAUACAAACUGUCAUCGUUUCCGUCUUCUUGUACCAAGUUCCGCAAUAGCACCACAGAGCUUACCUUAACUUGAAACUUCAGUUGUCUUCAGUUUUUUUAAGAUUUUAACACAAACACAAGAGAUUUGAGUGAAGACAGUGGCAGUGAAAGAAGAUAGUUCGCAUUUCAUAACCCUCGCAACUUAACAAAACAAGCAAGAACAUUGAUGAUUUUAUAUUUCUGGCAUUGCCUUACCAAAUGAUUAUCUUACAUAAUGUCUUACGGUUGAUUUUAUCGUCAGAGUGCAAGAUACUUAAAAUGCUUUGACCUACGUGAUACAAAAUGCACGUGGGCAAAAAAAAGAAUAGGUCUGUGAUAUUACUUUGUACUUUCAAAUAAAUUCGUAUUUAAAACUA